rnacentral:rRNA from 1 species
UACGGAGGGUGCAAGCGUUAUCCGGAUUCACUGGGUUUAAAGGGUGCGUAGGCGGGUAUAUAAGUCAGUGGUGAAAGCUCCGAGCUUAACUUGGAAACUGCCAUUGAUACUGUAUAUCUUGAAUGUCGUUGAGGUUAGCGGAAUGUUGCAUGUAGCGGUGAAAUGCUUAGAUAUGACAUAGAACACCAAUUGCGAAGGCAGCUCACUACGGGAUUAUUGACACUGAGGCACGAAAGCGUGGGGAUCAAACAGG